rnacentral:misc_RNA from 1 species
CUGCCCUCAAGCCCGGCUUGUGUGUUGGGCCUCGUCCCCCCUCGCGGGGGACGGGCCCGAAAGGCAGCGGCGGCACCGUGUCCGGUCCUCGAGCGUAUGGGGCUUUGUCACCCGCUCUGUAGGCCCGGCCGGCGCCUUAGCCGACGACACAAUCUUCUUUUUCA